rnacentral:lncRNA from 1 species
UCAACGAAUCAUUCUUCAUCUUGAACUUCAAUAACGUUGAGUUAUUCCCUUGGGUUGGGUUCUGUAUUACUUGGCAAGCUACCUUGUGGUCGUUCAGAGAUUAGUUUGGAAAGCUGGCCUAUCUGAGUUUCGAGCCCUUGGAUCGACGCUUGUUGAUGUUUAAGUGCUAUCUCGGUGUUCUGGAAAUGGGUUUCUAACAUCGAGAUAAAUUUAGACAGCAUCUCUUCAAGGUUUAGUUUCUUUUCCUAUUGAUAGGGU